rnacentral:rRNA from 1 species
GUGAGGAAUAUUGGUCAAUGGACGGAAGUCUGAACCAGCCAAGUAGCGUGCAGGAUGACGGCCCUAUGGGUUGUAAACUGCUUUUAUGCGGGGGUAAAGUGAGUGACGUGUCAUUCAUUGCAAGUACCGCAAGAAUAAGGACCGGCUAAUUCCGUGCCAGCAGCCGCGGUAAUACGGAAGGUCCUGGUGUUAUCCGGAUUUAUUGGGUUUAAAGGGAGCGUAGGCCGUCAGGCAAGCGUGUUGUGAAAUGUCGUGGCUCAACCAUGGACUUGAAGGGCGAACAGCCCGACUUGAGUGCGCGGAAAGCAGGCGGAAUUUGUGGUGUAGCGGUGAAAUGCUUAGAUAUCACGAAGAACCCCGAUUGCGAAGGCAGCCUGCUGUAGCGCUACUGACGCUGAAGCUCGAAAGUGCGGGUAUCGAACAGGAUUAGAUACCCGAGUAGUCC